UACGUAGGGGGCAAGCGUUGUCCGGAUUCAUUGGGCGUAAAGAGCGUGUAGGCGGCCAGGUAGGUCGGUUGUGAAAACUGGAGGCUCAACCUUCAGAGGUCGACCGAAACCAUCUGGCUAGAGUCCGGGAGAGGAGAGUGGAAUUCCUGGUGUAGCGGUGGAAUGCGCAGAUAUCAGGAGGAACACUGGUGGCGAAGGCGGGUCUCUGGGCAGUAACUGACGCUGAGGAGCGAAAGCGUGGGGAGCGAACAGG
rnacentral:rRNA from 1 species